AGUGAACGCUGGCGGUAGGCCUAACACAUGCAAGUCGAACGGCAGCACAGUAAGAGCUUGCUCUUACGGGUGGCGAGUGGCGGACGGGUGAGGAAUACAUCGGAAUCUACUUUUUCGUGGGGGAUAACGUAGGGAAACUUACGCUAAUACCGCAUACGACCUACGGGUGAAAGCAGGGGAUCUUCGGACCUUGCGCGAUUGCAUGAGCCGAUGUCGGAUUAGCUAGUUGGCGGGGAAAAGGCCCACCAAGGCGACGAUCCGUAGCUGGCCUGAGAGGAUGAUCAGCCACACUGGAACUGAGACACGGUCCAGACUCCUACGGGAGGCAGCAGUGGGGAAUAUUGGACAAUGGGCGCAAGCCUGAUCCAGCCAUACCGCGUGGGUGAAGAAGGCCUUCGGGUUGUAAAGCCCUUUUGUUGGGAAAGAAAAGCAGCAGGUUAAUACCCCGCUGUUCUGACGGUACCCAAAGAAUAAGCACCGGCUAACUUCGUG
rnacentral:rRNA from 1 species